rnacentral:rRNA from 1 species
GACGAACGCUGGCGGCGUGCUUAACACAUGCAAGUCGAACGAAAAUACCAAGCUUGCUUGGUUGAUUAGUGGCGAACGGGUGAGUAACACGUGAGUAACCUGCCCCUUACUUUCCUGGAUAACUGCUCGAAAGGGUAGCCAAUACGGGAUAUUCUGACCAGCCUGCAUGGGUUGGUUUGGAAAGGUUGUUUUUCUGGUAAGGGAUGGGCUCGCGGCCUAUCAGCUUGUUGGUGGGGUGAUGGCCUACCAAGGCUUUGACGGGUAGCCGGCCUGAGAGGGUGGACGGUCACACUGGGACUGAGAUACGGCCCAGACUCCUACGGGAGGCAGCAGUGGGGAAUAUUGCACAAUGGGCGCAAGCCUGAUGCAGCGACGCCGCGUGAGGGAUGAAGGCCUUCGGGUUGUAAACCUCUUUCGUCAGGGAACAAGGCACUGCUUUUUUGGUGGUGUUGAGGGUACCUGGAUAAGAAGCGCCGGCUAACUACGUG